CAGAGCUCUCUGUGUUUGGCGCCGUUUCGAUGGCGGAAGGAAUAUCAUUCACGGCUUCCAUUGACUAAUUUGCCCCAUACGUUGUUAUCUAUGAUGCAUGCUCCAUCGUUUAGAUGAUGUUUCCACAUGGGCUGAGAGAAUGCUGCUCUUCGGCAACGUGUGUAGCCUGGCGUAUUCAGCCCGAAGUGAAUCGUAUAUCCAAGUCCAGAUAUAACACCCUAUCUUUAUAUUUGCGUAGCGGAUGUCGCAAUUAUUGCUAUUCCACCAAUGUCACUUACAUCAUAUCAAGAGAUCGAAAGCUCCGAACGUCUUCCCCAUGGCACGGAGCACGGCUGAUGUACACGCCUUGGAGGGCGUUUUCUGACACCCCUUCCAACUAUGCUGCGCUGAAGCCCAAACCCCCUUCGAAUCUCAAGCCUCUGGCACCCAAACCCUUGUUCGGGGCGCGGACUCCGCAAACACCAGCCAUUGUAAAACCGACAAGCCGGGUACGUACACCCCAGGAUCCGCGUGCUAUAUUGGCGCAAACCCUUACUCCUGCAAUCGCCGUCCCCGACCUGCAAGAUGAACCGCCCUUGGAAGAGCGAAUUCUCCAGCAUCGCAAAACCCAGGCUUUGAGCCCAGAACUUCUGGGCCCGGCUAUCGGCACGUUAUGGGAUCAGAUAGAAUUCGACGAAGCCUACAGCGAGCGUCUACAAUUGCUGGACGCACAGAUCGCGGCAGCUGCAGCAGCAGCCCAGGAUUCCCAGCCACUAGAAAUCCCGACGUUCACACCAUCACCUGCCGAUCUUGAAAUCGAUAUGUCUGCUUCCGCGGAUAUGCUGAAGCUCGAACCAAUUGAAGAACGGGAGGUCGAGCUAGUCGAUCUCCAACGGGACAUCAAGCGACUUAUAAAGCGUGUGCGGAAGCUCCAGAGUCGCUUUGUCGAUAUCAGAUAUAAUAUCAUCAUGCAUGACAUAGCAGUGGCCAGUUUUUUUGAUACUGUAUUGAAAAGGUUAUAUCAUGACGGUAUUUACGUUCCCAGGGUGCGUGAGUUGACUCGCUUUUGGAAUUCGAUUGAAGUGUCAGUUCGCAAACGGCGGCGAGCCUAUCUUGAUUCCCAAAGCUGGCUUUCUAAGGUCAAUUCGAAGGAGCUGAGAGAUAUUUCUUUUCAUCUUAAAUAUCUAGGAGAAUUGCCACGGUUGCCUCGAACAAUGCAAUCAAUUUUUAGCAAAUAUAAUAGGUUAUUGGGUAUGGAUAAGAGAAUUAUCUCUUUGGCAGGCCACAUGUGGCGGAAGUACUUGGGCACCGGGUUAUACCUCUCUGAGCACGCUUCUGUUCCUAACGCCUGGAAUUUUGAGGUUUUGUCCACUUCCACGAGUGAUGCUUUUAUUCAAUACCGCAACACAAUUAGUGACACGAUCGAUGAAAUCAACAACAUGAUCGGGGGACUUCUAUCCAGGCCGCAGAAGCGCAGUCAACACGCGCACAACCAACAACUACUCACGAUGCUGGAGAACAGCCUGGCGGUACAUGCUUCAGCGAAGAAUGACUUAUGUCAAGAUUUCGGCCCAUUCUAUUCUUACGCCCUUUACCUUUUCUAUUCUAGACAACCAACAUCCAGUAUUUACUGGAAGCAGUGGGAGGUUAUUUCCCCUUUCAUUACCUCACGGGCCCUCAUACUUUCAAUCAGGGGUGCUGUGAGUGAUGUUCUCAAUGUCCUAGACAUUGGGAAACGGGCAGGUCACAGAAUACCGAUAAAACUUGAAGACUCUCUCUGGAAAUGGUACAGGGAGUUUCCUAUUUUAUGGAUGGAUGAAUUCAUCGUGGAACUUGAAGCGUUUAUUGAACUUAAUUUCCUUCGCCUCCAAACCGAAGAAAGGCUCUCCCCGCUUGAUUUAAACGUCAAUGCAAGCCCGUCUGUUGUCUUUCCAAACCAAACUGAUAUGGAAAAGCUUCGUAACUGGGCUUUGGGACUGGAAAGAAUCACUGGACCAGGGAAUAACUUUACUCUAGGAGACUCCGAGGUAGACACAUCUCGAAAAGUUACGGACAGUAAUCGUUGGCUUCGUAUCCAGCAUGGAGUAUGGGAUAGGAGUAACAGUCCUACUGGCUCAAGAUCCACUACGCCAACUGCACCUCGAUCUCUACCGUCGAGGCUGAGCAACACCAAAGGACUAAGACGUUCUGGCAUUCGUUCAAAACCUCCGCCGCCGCCAUCAAAGCCGACUAAGGUAAAAUCCAAAAGCCAUGACACCAGUCCAAAACUAUCAGCAUCACAGCCAGCGAAGAGGAAAUCCGAAUCUGUCAUCAGGUCAAAGGCAGGUACGGUAAGUGAAAUUGAGCCCUUGGUGGCUGAGACAACGUCAUCACUGGUCAGCGAACAAACCAUUACUACCUCCAAAAAAAAGCCUUCACAAUGGCUAAGUGGACUAUUUAACCGUGUACCAUUUUCCAAAUAUCAUACCAAAACUGCAGUUGGCGUUUCCGGCUCCUCCACACAGACAUCCAACGGUCAAGCUGAUCCGUCUCGGUCAAAGUACUGGAGCUAUAAUCUGAAUAAAACUCCGGAUGGCAAAGAAAUCACUGUUCACUAUUGCACUUCCCUUCAGACUAUGGAACGAGUAGCAAAGCUUUUUUUGUCCGAAACUAUUGUCGGCCUUGAUGUUGAAUGGAAAGCUCAAGCCUCUGCUCAAGAUUCACUUGUGGGUAAUGUUUCUGUGAUACAACUUGCGAGCAAGGAGCGAAUCGCCAUAUUUCACCUGGCUUUAUUUAAUCCUGCAAAUUCACUACAGCACCUUCUGUCUCCUACUCUUAAGAGAAUACUAGAAUCUCCCGAUAUAGUCAAGGUUGGCGUCGCUAUCAGGGCAGACUGUACACGCCUGUAUAAAUUUUUGGGCAUUCGGACAAAUAACAUUUGCGAAGUCAGUCGCUUGCACAAAGUAGUGAAGCACCACCUAAACCCAAAAUUGAUUGAUAAGAGAUUGGUGAAUCUCGCUCAGCAGGUUGAAGAGCAUUUAGGCUUGCCACUUGACAAGGAUCCUGAAAUCAGAUGUGGUGGCUGGUCGAAAAAGCUCAAUUACCGUCAAGUACAAUAUGUUGCAACAGAUCCAUACGCCGCCUUGCAGCUUUUCCAUGUCUUAGAAGCCAAAAGGCUCCAGUUAACGCCUGUUCCACCUAGCCCGGUCAAUCCAGUCAUCGUCUAUACCACCC
rnacentral:sRNA from 1 species